GAUGAACGCUGGCGGCGUGCCUAAUACAUGCAAGUCGAGCGAACAGAUGAGGAGCUUGCUCCUCUGACGUUAGCGGCGGACGGGUGAGUAACACGUGGAUAACCUACCUAUAAGACUGGGAUAACUUCGGGAAACCGGAGCUAAUACCGGAUAAUAUAUUGAACCGCAUGGUUCAAUAGUGAAAGACGGUUUUGCUGUCACUUAUAGAUGGAUCCGCGCCGCAUUAGCUAGUUGGUAAGGUAACGGCUUACCAAGGCAACGAUGCGUAGCCGACCUGAGAGGGUGAUCGGCCACACUGGAACUGAGACACGGUCCAGACGCCUACGGGAGGCAGCAGUAGGGAAUCUUCCGCAAUGGGCGAAAGCCUGACGGAGCAACGCCGCGUGAGUGAUGAAGGUCUUCGGAUCGUAAAACUCUGUUAUUAGGGAAGAACAAAUGUGUAAGUAACUAUGCACGUCUUGACGGUACCUAAUCAGAAAGCCACGGCUAACUACGUG
rnacentral:rRNA from 1 species